rnacentral:rRNA from 1 species
AUUGAACGCUGGCGGCAUGCUUUACACAUGCAAGUCGAACGGCAGCGCGGGCUUCGGCCUGGCGGCGAGUGGCGAACGGGUGAGUAAUGCAUCGGAACGUGCCCAGUAGUGGGGGAUAGCCCGGCGAAAGCCGGAUUAAUACCGCAUACGACCUGAGGGUGAAAGCGGGGGACCGAAAGGCCUCGCGCUAUUGGAGCGGCCGAUGUCGGAUUAGCUAGUUGGUGGGGUAAAGGCUUACCAAGGCGACGAUCCGUAGCUGGUCUGAGAGGACGACCAGCCACACUGGGACUGAGACACGGCCCAGACUCCUUCGGGAGGCAGGAGUGGGGAAUUUUUGACAAUGGGGGCAACCCUGAUCCAGCCAUGCCGCGUGCGGGAAGAAGGCCUUCGGGUUGUAAACCGCUUUUGUUCGGGAAGAAAUCCUCUGGGCUAAUACCCCGGGGGGAUGACGGUACCGGAAGAAUAAGCACCGGCUAACUACGUG